CGCUUGCCGUGCUUUUUCCUCCAUCAUUGAGCAACGAGGAGCUGGAAUCGGAUUCGAGAGACUGACAUGACGGCGGGUUUGGGGUCAGAUGUUCGGUGCCAUAGUCAUACUUGUUGAAGGCUGACUGUGCCGUCCGAGCAAGCCUCUCUGUUGCCGCCGCUGCCGCCAUAAUAACAUUUCUCCUCCGGUCGGGCUGUUUCAGCACAAGAUCGGUUGAAAGACGGAUUAAUGGACAGAGGGCUGCCAAAGUAAGACUGAGGAUAUCCAUUGCACGACUCCGAUGGAUUCCAUGGGAGGGAGCACACAUUGUCCCUUCUUGGGUACGAGAGAGAUGGUAACCCCGCCAGUUGUCCCCCCGAGGCUCUAAAAUUCGGGAAGUAAAACGUAUCUCCAGUGUGGAUGUUUACCAAAGGUCCCACAAACCCAGGAUUAAGGAGAUUAUGCUCGCCCAUUUCCGCGGGCCUGACCAACAGCUUCUAGUUUAUUGCAAUCUGACAUUUAACGUAGUUAAACCUGGAGAUGCAUCCGAUUGGUCAUCUCCACGUCACGUGGCGGAGCUUACUCGAACUCCAGAAGGUACCACCCACUUGGACUAUUUUAGACAAAACAAAACAUUAACUUAUGUGUUACGGGUCUUUAUAUGCUUUUUAAAAAUACUAUAAAAUUUCGUAUUAAAAUGUAGACUCUUGUUUUUCACUUUCCUAUGUCUGCAGGUUCCAAACGGGUUCUCUCUUCGUUCUCUUGAGUACAAAAUAUAGUACCGUUCCUAGACCUGUUUAAUAUCUUUAUAAGCUAACACAUUUACUUUAAAACUUUUUUCAUACGAAAACUGUUGAUUUUUGGAACCGAUGUGGGUGCUGAUGACAUUUUGUUUUCAUGAAAAAAUUACGAUUGAAUUCGGUGUCAUAUAAAGCUUUGAUGAUCCACUUUUACAGGCUUGUUUUAGAGAAAGACUGAUGCUCAGCGCUUCACUAACACUCGUAUUUACUGUAACAGGGUCAGCAGGUUGAAACCGUUGGCUCAGUAAAAUUGGAUGAUAUUCUAUAGAGUUUCUUCAAGAACGUAACCUAUAUUUCAAAUAAUAUGCACUCACACACCUCAUAUGAACAACUUUAACAGAUUCCCUCUAUAAAUACUCGCAGCCAAACUGUGGGAAGAUUAUUACACAUCUCGCAAUUCUUUUAUAUUAACUUUACAAGCUAGCAGAGGGUAUUUAAACGAUUCAGCAGUUCCAAAGCCACCACACUACCUUAAUUGAUAAAUAAUUUCAAACACUAAAUAGGCCGGGAUAGUUAUACUGCGUACGCUAAGAGCAAUCGUAUGUAAGAUAACUUAAGAUUAUCUAGAAAUUUCAUAAAUAUAUAUCUACAUGCGAGUAUACGAGUAUAGGUCAACAAUCAGCUUUUUAGAUAACUUCAAAUGCUGCAUAAUACAAUAGCUAUGUUUUGUAUUAUUAGGCUGGAUGGGUAACCUUUUUUUUUCUUCACUAAUAUGAAUCUACCAUUUGUGUGGCUGUCCAUGUGAUCGUGUGUGUGUGUGUGUGUGUGUGUGUGUGUGUGUGUGUGUGUGUGUGUGUAAGGGGCGCAGCUUUUUGUUGCUUAAUAUUUGCUGAAAUUACACAUUUUAUUUUAAAAUGCGAACCACAGUUCACUGGUCGUUUAAUGUAACUUUACGUAAUAUAAUUACACACAACAACACAUAAGUCCAUCUUAGGUAACUUGUGUGUCGCUUAUCAUUUUCAUGAGCACCUAUAGACUACAUGAUAAGCAACGGACAAAAAUAAUAUAACUACAACAUUAGACGGUCAUUAUCUGUAUUUGACGUUUCACAAUUCUAUUAAAGAAGCAAAAAUAACCCAAAAGCAACCGUGCUACAGACAUAAAAUAUAGGGUCUGUGUUACAAACAGAAUGAAAUGAAAAAGUGCUAUUUUGCAGCUACUGUUUAUCUCGACAUUAUACUAUACAAUUCAUUCCCUAUGUCCGAUAAGUAUCUAUCCAAAUUCAGUCCAACGCACAAGUGCUGAGAACUGAUUAAUUUUACGAGAUCGUAAUAGACAUAUUCCUUUCUUUUUCUUUUUUUGGGAUAUGUUAUGUUUCUUUUUAUUCACCGUAGAUGUGAAUAAAAUUAAACUGCAGCCAACUACCACAUCGAGAUAUUGCAGGUUAGGACACACGUCGUAAAAUUACUUUGUCGACCGACUAUAAUUUUUUUUCUGUCCUUUUAUGGUGAAAUGUCGAUCAACUUCAUUUAAUCACAAAACGUCUCGACGAUUGUGAACAAGGUAAAUCUCCAAACAAUAACACCAAUAUCUGUCAUUAUCGGUAAGUUAUGUGUUAUCGCUUGAAAUGGGAAUCUUAAGUCUCCGAAUUGUUAGUAAAGUCGCUGAAAGUGCUUGUUUUCAGUUCAAGGUCAGUGUCUAGUGCACUGCCUACGUCGUACUGAAAAGCAGUCUUCGAAUGUUUUUACCGUCCAGACAGGGCAACAGCACAAAUAAAGGCGUUUUAUUCUCUCUAUAUCUUCUAAAGGGACAGAUUGCCUCAGUUUUAGUCUUAACACGAAUAUAUUUCUAUUAAGUUUUUACCCGAAUCUUAACUACAGCACAUAUACGUGUAAAAAUAGUUAUACUUGAAAAGUUUUAUCUCUAUAUUGCACUUCAAAUACAUCAGUACUAAAUAAUAUCAAUGUUUCUUUCUUAAUUUAGUAUUUUUAAAAUUAUUAUUAUUAGUUAAUCUUCGUAUUUAUUUACCACUGACUUGUGCCUAUGAGUUAUUUGUGUGAAUAAAAUGAAAUGACUGGACACGAUAUCGUUCAAGUUAGAAAUCAGAUAAUGAAUUGUCUUGUCAUAAUACUUAAUUAUUUAUAUAUCAGUUUUGCAUGUUUAACUACAAUGUAUCACCAUUUUCUGAAGAUGUUUCAAAAUAAAAUGAAAUUAAUUAAACUGAA